AAAGUGGAGCAAUCCAUGAGUAGAGUGGCAAACGGGUGAGUAACGCGUGGGUGACCUGCCUUCGAGUGGGGGAUAACGUUCCGAAAGGGACGCUAAUACCGCAUGACAUCCGGCCUUUGAAGAGGCGGAGAUCAAAGCUGGGGAUCGCAAGACCUAGCGCUCGAUGAGGGGCCCGCGUCUGAUUAGCUAGUUGGUGGGGUAACGGCUCACCAAGGCAACGAUCAGUAUCCGGCCUGAGAGGGCGGACGGACACACUGGGACUGAGACACGGCCCAGACUCCUACGGGAGGCAGCAGUGGGGAAUUGUUCGCAAUGGGCGCAAGCCUGACGACGCAACGCCGCGUGGAGGAUGAAGAUCUUCGGGUCGUAAACUCCUUUCGAUCGAGACGAACAGCCUUCGGGUAAACAAUCCGGAGGUCUGACGGUACCGAGAGAAGAAGCCCCGGCUAACUCCGUGCCAGCAGCCGCGGUAAUACGGGGGGGGCAAGCGUUGUUCGGAAUAACUGGGCGUAAAGGGCUCGUAGGCGGCCAACUAAGUCAGACGUGAAAUCCCUCGGCUUAACCGGGGAACUGCGUCUGAUACUGGAUGGCUUGAGUUUGGGAGAGGGAUGCGGAAUUCCAGGUGUAGCGGUGAAAUGCGUAGAUAUCUGGAGGAACACCGGUGGCGAAGGCGGCAUCCUGGACCAACACUGACGCUGAGUGAGCGAAAGCCAGGGGAGCAAACGGGAUUAGAUACCCCGGUAGUCCUGGCCCUAAACGAUGAAUGCUUGGUGUGGCGGGUAUCGAUCCCUGCCGUGCCGAAGCUAACGCAUUAAGCAUUCCGCCUGGGGAGUACGGUCGC
rnacentral:rRNA from 1 species